GAUGAACGCUAGCGGCAGGCUUAAUACAUGCAAGUCGUGGGGCAGCAUGAGUAGCAAUACUUGAUGGCGACCGGCAAACGGGUGAGGAACACGUACACAACCUUCCUUCAAGCGGGGAAUAGCCCAGAGAAAUUUGGAUUAAUACCCCAUAAUAUAUUUGAUAAGGCAUCUUAUUAAUAUUAAAGCUUCGGCACUUGAUGAUGGGUGUGCGGCUGAUUAGAUAGUUGGCGGGGUAACGGCCCACCAAGUCUACGAUCAGUAGCUGAUGUGAGAGCAUGAUCAGCCACACGGGCACUGAGACACGGGCCCGACUCCUACGGGAGGCAGCAGUAAGGAUAUUGGACAAUGGACGAAAGUACUGAUCCAGCCAUGCCGCGUGAAGGAUUAAGGUCC
rnacentral:rRNA from 1 species